CAGACCUGCCGGCAGACUUCCGAGCUAAGCCUGAUUAAACAAAAACGUUUGAUCCGGCGGAAUAAUGUGUUUGAUAUUACAUCCCAUGUCAACAAGGAACUGCGCUGUCUGUCUUCGCCCCCAACAGGUUUUAUUCUUCCGGGUUUUUCAAAUCUUUACCAACCCGCGUCCGAUCGUAAUACCCCGAUCACAACAAAUAGUUGAUCGUGCUCCGAUGGCUCCAAACAUCAGCCGGCAAGGAAGUUACGUUUUUCGCUUCUAUAUUUUGACCCAAGUGAUGGCUGGUCGUGGUUCAUCAGCGUUUGUUUUGAAACUGAUGGGUACCACAAGGCAUGAAGGAGGUGACUUGCAGCAGCAAGGCACUGCAAGCCUUCGCAGCAACUGGCUAGCCAGUGCUGCUCUGUUCUGAACUGCACUGCGUGUCAUGCGGAGGUUUUGUGCAAGCUCUCUGGGCGGCGACGCUAGCCACGAUUGGCUUCGUGGAUGCACAGAAAUACUCAAGGCGCUUGACGUCUGUGGCUCAUCUGUAUUGUUUUUCCCGGUACCACGGCAUGAAGGAGCUGGCCUCCCUCCCUUCCAUCAGCUGCGAGAUACUACAAGCACUGGGCUACAGCUGCAGCUAGCCCAUGGGUACCGGGGACCAUGACAUCAGUGAGCUGGCUUUCACCUUGUCCAAGGCAGCAGCGGAACACUACGGGCGGGACCCUGGAUCACUGCACCAUGGAUGCCGUCCUGUACCCUGCACGGCACUGCGUGUGGCUUAAGUGGCCAAGCAGAGGGUCAUUGCAUGACUUUUAUGAGGCGCCGCUAGCCAUUGUUUCAAACCACCCUGAAUCGUGGAUCAAGCCUUGCAAGAUGGAAGUUCUCUUUAGGCCCAGCGCCUCUUGAUGGAUCAAGUCUUGUACCCCAUUCCCUCGUGUCUUUCAUAUAAGUAAAUUGUUGGUAUUUC